rnacentral:rRNA from 1 species
ACAAUAAGCAAAAUAAGGGCGUAUGGGGGAUGCCUAGGCUCUCAGAGGCGAAGAAGGACGUGAUAAGCUGCGAAAAGCUGCGGGGAUUGGCACAUACGAAUUGAUCCGCAGAUAUCCCAAUGGGGCAACCCACUAUGUUGAAGACAUAGUAUCCAAUAGGAGGCGAACCCGCUGAACUGAAACAUCUAAGUAGGCGGAGGAGAAGAAAACAAAAGUGAUUGCGUAAGUAGUGGCGAGCGAAAGCGCAUUAGCCCAAACCAGUGUUGUUACGGCAAUACUGGGGUUGUAGGACCACAAUAUUUCUUGUAAACCGAAUUAGAAUAACCUGGAAAGGUUAACCACAGAGGGUGAUAGUCCCGUAUAAGUAAGGAAUAUAAAGGAUAGUGGUAUCCUGAGUAGGGCGGGGCACGUGAAACCCUGUCUGAAUCUGGCGGGACCAUCCGCUAAGGCUAAAUACUCCUGAGAGACCGAUAGUGAACCAGUACUGUGAAGGAAAGGUGAAAAGAACCGUGAAUAACGGAGUGAAAUAGAACCUGAAACCAUACGCCUACAAGCGGUCGGAGCAGCAAAAGCUGUGACGGCGUGCCUUUUGCAUAAUGAGCCUACGAGUUAACGUUGCUGGCAAGGUUAAGCACUUCAGGUGCGGAUCCGUAGCGAAAGCGAGUCUGAAUAGGGCGCUUGAGUCAGUAAUGUUAGACGCGAAACCGUGUGAUCUACCCAUGGGCAGGAUGAAGCUGUGGUAACACAUAGUGGAGGUCCGAACCGGUUGACGUUGAAAAGUCUUCGGAUGACCUGUGGGUAGGGAUGAAAGGCCAAUCAAACUCGGAAAUAGCUCGUACUCCCCGAAAUGCAUUUAGGUGCAGCGCAGUGGUAGAGUUAUAUAGAGGUAGAGCUACUGAUUGGAUGCGGGGGCUUCACCGCCUACCAAUUCCUGACAAACUCCGAAUGCUAUAUAAUAUACACAGCAGUGAGGGCUGGGGUGCUAAGGUCCCAGUCCGAGAGGGAAAGAACCCAGACCAUCAGCUAAGGUCCCCAAAUGUAUACUAAGUUGAUCAAACGCGGUUUGAUUGCAUCGACAGCUAGGAUGUUGGCUUGGAAGCAGCCAUUCAUUUAAAGAGUGCGUAACAGCUCACUAGUCGAGCGAUCGAGCAUGGAUAAUAAUCGGGCAUAAGUAUACUACCGAAGCUAUGGAUUUGACAAAAGUCAAGUGGUAGGGGAGCAUUCUAACAUCGUAGAAGGGAUUCCGUGAGGAUUUCUGGAGAGGUUAGAAAAGAAAAUGUAGGCAUAAGUAACGAUAAGGGGUGCGAGAAACACCCCCGCCGUAAAACUAAGGUUUCCGCAGCUAUGCUAAUCAGCUGCGGKUUAGUCGGGACCUAAGGCGAAUCCGAAAGGAACAGUCGAUGKCMRAYGKGKAUAAKAKWCMSGUACUACUUAUAAUUGUGAUGGAGUGACGCAGUGGUGAAAGUACCGCGAACUGACGGAAUAGUUCGUUAAAGCACCUAGCUGGAUAGUGUACCUAAAGGCUGCCAAGAAAACCUUCUAAACAUAGAUUAUAAGUACCCGUACCGUAAACCGACACAGGUAGUUGAGGAGAGUAUCCUAAGGCGCUCGAGAGAUUCAUGGCUAAGGAAUUAGGCAAAAUAGACCUGACUUCGGGAGAAAGGUCGCCAGCGCAAGCUGGCCGCAGUGAAAAGGUCCAGGCGACUGUUUAUCAAAAACACAGGGCUCUGCCAAAUCGUAAGAUGAAGUAUAGGGCCUGACACGGUGCUGGAAGGUUAAGAGGAGAUGUUAUGAGCAAUCAGAAGCAUUGAAUUGAAGCCCCAGUAAACGGCGGCCGUAACUAUAACGGUCCUAAGGUAGCGAAAUUCCUUGUCGGGUAAGUUCCGACCUGCACGAAUGGUGUAACGAUCUGGACACUGUCUCAGCCAUGAGCUCGGUGAAAUUGUAGUAUCGGUGAAGAUGCCGAUUACCCGCAGUGGGACGAAAAGACCCUGUGCACCUUUACUAUAGCUUAGUAUUGACCUUGGAUAAGUGAUGUGUAGGAUAGGUGGGAGACUGUGAAAUGGCGUCGCUAGGCGUUGUGGAGUCAUUGUUGAAAUACCACCCUUUGCUUAUCUGAGGCCUAACUCCAUAUUGUGGAGGACAUUGCUUGGUGGGUAGUUUGACUGGGGUGGUCGCCUCCAAAAGAGUAACGGAGGCUUCUAAAGGUUCCCUCAGCACGCUUGGUAACCGUGCGUAGAGUGCAAUGGCAUAAGGGAGCUUGACUGAGAGACAUACAGGUCGAUCAGGUACGAAAGUAGAGCAUAGUGAUCCGGUGGUUCCGCAUGGAAGGGCCAUCGCUCAAAGGAUAAAAGGUACGCCGGGGAUAACAGGCUGAUCUCCCCCAAGAGCUCAUAUCGACGGGGGGGUUUGGCACCUCGAUGUCGGCUCGUCACAUCCUGGGGCUGGAGAAGGUCCCAAGGGUUGGGCUGUUCGCCCAUUAAAGUGGCACGCGAGCUGGGUUCAGAACGUCGUGAGACAGUUCGGUCUCUAUCUACUGUGGGCGUUAGAAAUUUGAGUGGAUCUGACUCUAGUACGAGAGGACCGAGUUGGACCAACCGCUGGUGUAUCUGUUGUUCCGCCAGGAGCACCGCAGAGUAGCUACGUUGGGAAGGGAUAAGCGCUGAAAGCAUAUAAGCGCGAAACCCACCACAAGAUGAGAUUUCUUUUAAGGGUCGUGGAAGAUGACCACGUUGAUAGGCUAUAGAUGUAAAGGCAGUAAUGUCACAGUCAAGUAGUACUAAUAACCCGUAAGCUUAUUGUA